rnacentral:lncRNA from 1 species
UUUGUGUUGUCGGAUUGUGUUGAGCCAGAAGCUAGAUGCAAAGGCAAUCUAGAGUUUUCGAGUAACCUGACUAUGAUGUCACUAGUUUUGACAUCAGAGGCAAGUUUUCUAAUUAUGACUUGUACUUAUCACAAGUGAUCUUUUGGUCUAUUCUAUUUAAAUAAGGACAUUCAUAUUCAUAUUUUGCUAUGGCCACUAGUAGUGCAUAUCCUAUAUUUAAAAAUACAAUAUGAUUAUUUAUCUCUUGUAACUACUGCAAGUAUUUUGUUCUACAUCUCUUUAUAACCAAUCAUAUUUUAUCUUCUUCACUCAAUAAACAUUUUGUGCCAUUGCACACAAGUAUUCCUGGUCUCUUGAAUGUUUUUAUAAAAUUUUUAGUUGUUUUCAUUAUUUUAAAAAGGUGAGCUGAUUAAGCUCUGAAAUUAUUUAUUUUAAGAUUUUGACUUCCUCUCUCUCCUAUUGAACUUAUACUUUAUACAAGUAUAUUAGUUGCAUGAAUUACAUUACACAAUUUCGAGCAUGAAUGCUGUUUUACUUGAAUUAUUAUCUUGACAUGUGUACACUCAACAUCAUGUCUAAAAUCUUUUAUCAACUGUUGUUUUCUAUAAAUGUUUCCCCUGAAAAGAACUUUUAUUUAAAUGUUCUAGAAAUGCUGAACCGUUAAUCUAACGGCUAGUAUUAUGAUUUUGAUAUAAAACAAGGUUGUCGAUUAUUUCGAUACCUUGCUUAUUUUGUGAUUGGAAGUACCCUCGGGGACCGUACGCCGGUCCAGUUACAAUUAAGGCCAUUGUGUGCCUUGGAUCCCUUAAAAUUUGGUGACAUGCUUCGUGCAUGAUCCGGUGCUAUCUCGCGACUGAUCAUCGGCUAUAGCAUAGCGUUAAAUUAUUCCAAUCCCUAAAAAUGUUGUGGAAGGUUUAUAUAUUAAUGCUACUCUUUAUUAGUAUUAAGUUUCAGAAAAGUUUUAUAAAUUAAAUUCGAAGUUCAUAUUGUCGCUGAAGCAUUUGUUGCUCAGUGAUAGUUAGAGCCAAGAAUGAAUUGAGAUCUUCUUAUUUAUUCAACUCAUCAUUGUCAUGUUGGUUUAGCAACUAAAUAUAUGGAAAUUUAGUCGAUAAUGAUGGACACUGAAUAUUUAGGGAUUUCUUGAACUGUGGUUUAUGAACAGUUGAUUAUCAAACGUUAUUUUGAACUUCUCAAAUGAAUAAUUUUUGAAGUUCUUGCAAAGGUAUUAUUUUAUGAGAUUUGCUGCAAUGCAAAUCAAAAUGGUUUUAAAGAUUUUGAAGUGAAUCAAUUAUUUGAUUCAAAAUGUUUCUCAUAGUUAGAAACUCUCUCUCUCCAGUUUGGAAUUGCAUUACAAAUGUUUUUAGUAGAAAUCCAUUACCUAUUGGAUUGGAAAAUUCCCCGCAUAUUAUGGAUUUAUCUUAUUAUGCUUCUAAAACUUAUCUUGCUGAGCCUUUUGCUCACCCUUGCUAUUAUUUCUAACGCUUUCAGUUAGAGAUUAAGAUGAUUCGAUUGUUGAGCUGUGCGUAAGAUUGAUGAUAGGCGAGAUUGCCAGGGAGAUGUCUGCAAGAAUAUUUCUGGUUAGAAUUGAAUUAUUUCAGUUUAGUUGUAUAAUAGAUUUAUUUAUUUGGUUAUCAGUUACUCUUCUUAUCGAGGUUUAACUGAUAAUGUAGUUUAAGUUGUAAUAAGAUUGUAAGUUUUGAUUUCUGAUUUCAGUGUUGUAACCUAUUAGCGAUCCUGUUUUUAGGGGGUCAAAGUGAUUUUGAUUUAAAUAUCUUUUAAAAUUUCCAGAUUUUUAAUUAUCUGUUUUACCUUCUUCCGCAAAAUACAGGUUUUUAAAUGAUUUUAUUUUAGUGGCACCAAAUCCAGACCCCCGGAUUUUGGGGAUGUCACAGUUGGUAUCAGAGCUAUAGGUUAUAAGUUAUUGAAAUCAGAAUGUAGGUUGUGUUAGGAUUGUGGUUAGUGGAACCUCAUAUAGAGGUAAGUCAAGACAAUUUGGUAUAGUCUUUGUUGAUAGAAUUGAGGUCGAUAUUGGAGUAUUGAUUCCAAGUAAUCAUUUGGGAUAUCCUAGUUUCUAGUUUUAGAACUAGUGAGUUUGGAUUUCAGGGAAACAUGAUGGAACUUUUAGUUUCCAAUCUUUUUGAACUUGAGAUUGACUUCUGAGUAACCAGUGCCAACUAGACUCGUGGAGAAACCUGUCUAGUCUAGAAUGUUUGUUUUCAUCCCUACCACUUCUUGAGUAUUGGUAGAGGGUCAUAUAUUAAUUUUCUAGAGAUAUAUAUAUAUAGAAUGAGUAUGAGAUUUGUUGGGUUAGAGAUUCUUUGAUAAGAUAGUUAUAUGAAAUUCGUGUUUAGCUAUUUGUUAUAGUGCUAUGAGUAGGCUAGAACGCCAACGCUCUACAAUGCUUAUUGUAUAAAGUUGAAGAUGGCUUCUGACCGUGCCAAGCUGGAUAAGACUUUUUACUGAAGUGGAUUGCGGUGAUUGAAUCUUUAGAGUUGAAUACGAGCGGCCAGAAUAUUAGAACAUCGAGAAGAAUCGCUAGAAUCGGAACGAGCCAUCAGAAGAAUCAAUCGAGAAGACAUCUGUGAUAAUGUUGGUAAUGCCUUCCUCAUUGUUGAUUAUAUUGAUUAUUUUCCAAUCAAUAAUCUAUUUUAACAUCUCUUUUAUAAAGAUGUUUGUUAAAAAGCGUAUGCUCUCUCUUGAGGUGUAUUGCUAUACUUGCGUUUACUCGUAUUUGGAUUGAAUUGUGAUAGAGGCUAAUAUGAUACUUAUUUUAGGUUGUGGAAGCCCUGUCAAGUUUGUGAAAAUUCAUUUCUAUUUUUUUUUCUUUCUUCUAAAAGUGGUGAAUGAUUCUUAUUUCAAGUUAUCACCAUUUACUCGUUAUGUAAAAUUAUUUUUCGGUUAUUAUUUUCCUCCGAAAAUCAGCAUCUUUGGAAUCUAUUCAAUUUUGAACCCAAGGUGCGUAUAAAGAUUUAUUCAUUUAAAAGACAGUCAUUGUUAAUUGAUUGAAUUUUUUUUUUUUCCAGAUUUUCUUACUCUAACUGAGAUGAACAACCCUAUUUAUAGGGGACACAAGGACUAUCUGUCUGUGUGAUAGAAGUUUGAUGGGACGCCAUCACUUGUGUGUUGUGCAUUACAAGAAGGUUAAUUACCUUUAGUAGUAUCAUCAAUUGGAUACGCAACAUAGUUCUCUAGAUCAUAUUGAUCUCUCAGCAAUUCUCUAUUUCAUAUCAGUUUGCUUUCGAAACUCAUACCUAUGACAAUUGCUUUGAUAUCUUAAAUCUGAUAUACUUUAAGAUUAAAUGACUCUUAUUUGUCAAUCAAUUCAAAGGGUAUGCCAAUCAGGUUUAAAAGAGUUAGUCCUGCCAAUGCAUUAUAAGAUUUCGUAUAUGACCACAACUAUAAAAGAAGAUUACGAUGCGACUUGCAAACAAUAGCCUGCUCUGAUUCUCUCUUCGCUGAUUCCGAGGACGGAAUCCUUAUAAGGGGGGAAGUCUGUAAUGACUCGGGUUUUUAUUAAUUAUUUAUUAUUUUGUUGGUGAUCUUAAAAAAAAAGGAAGGAAUAAAAUUUUAUAUUUUAUUCCAGUUUGUUGGAUUUUCAAAAAUAAUUAUCUUAGUAUAUAAUUAAUUCUCGAUCCAGUGAGAUGUUGGGAAUUUGAUUAUUUGAGAUAUUAUGUGGAUAAUAUUUUGAGGUGCAACUAUUUGAAAUUUUAUGCAAUUUUCUGAGUUACUUCAAUUAUGUGAUUGAUUUAAUUGGGGUACAUGUUAAAUGAGCAUUAAUUGUUUAUUCUCUGUCCGAGUGAGUAAUUUAGAAAUUGAGUUUAUUUUUAUAAAUCAGAGAUGUUCUUUGAUUUAGAGAUAUCAGAAUUCUGUGUUUACUUAUAUUACAAAUUUUGUCUAAGCGGUUAAGUUAGAAUUUAGAUUUAUUAUAGUGUCUUCAUUAAAAUUGUUUUUAGUUUUUAAAAAUCAAAAUCUGUAUUUAAUUGUGCCAAUAUUUUAUUCAAGUAAAAACUACCAAAAUAUUUCAGUUUUGGUAUUUUAAUGUUUUGAAUGAUUUGAAAAUAUUCAAAAUUCUCGCGAAUGAUUAUUUUAAUUAUUUGCAAUUCAAAAAAAUUAAUUAUGGGCAAUUAAAUAUAAAAUUUUCAAAUGAUUAAAAAUAAAAUUUUUACGUAUUUUAUUCAUUCAGGAUAUUUCAAGAAUUGUAGUAUAUUUUGUUUUAUUCUUGGAAAAUAUUUUUAGACCCCUAAAAUUUGUUUAGUAGUUUCAUAGUAUUAAUAAUUGGGGUAUAAGCCUUAUCAGUAUAUAUAAAAUUCUUUUAUUAAACUAGAGUUAGCAGCUGCGUUAACCCCGUGUGUACAUCUCGUCUACUAAUAAUCAGAUAGUAUAACAGAUCAAAACAAAAGCUAUUAAAACAGACACAAGUCUUAUACACGCAGCCGCAGUUCGAAAGAAUUGGGGAACUAGGGUUUCGGAACAGGGGUUUCAAAAUCCAUGCUUGAAUCGCAGGUGAGGUCAUGAAUUAUGUGUAAUAUACAAUUGUUAUGCUUAUCUGUGUAUGUAUAUAUGGCUGUGAUUAUGGUUGACUGCUUGAAUCGGAGGCUGUUAAUAGUGAUGGAGGCUGGUGGGUUUCGUGGUUGUGAUUGACGGUGAAGCCACCGUUGGUUGGUCUGGGUUUAAGUAGAAGGGAAGGAGUUGGUUUGAUUGUUUUGUGGUGAUCGGGGAACGGACGGCUGGUGGUGGUCUGGAUCGUGGCCGGCUGGGCACCGCCGCUACCACGCCGGGAAAGAGAAGCAGCGGCAUAGCUGCACGCGGUUGAGGCUACAGCCGCCAUGGCUGCUGACCAGGCGAGGAGAGAGAGAGAGAGAGAGGGGGGGGGAGAGNUAAAUUGUUGUUCCCGAUUCGUGUAUCGGUUUAUUAGUGUUAGAUAUCAUGUUUAGUUAUACAGUCUGGCAAGUUAGACGACAAAAAUUUGACUGUGUUAGACAAAUAUUGUGUUGAUUGUUGGGAUUGCUUUAUUACAAAGGAAGUGUUGUCCGGGUAUUAAUCUAUUAUUAAGAAUUGGAUUUAAAUUGAGAAUCGAAUUAAGAUUAUAAUUCGGGUUCUAAUUAAGAUUUGGACAGAGAUUCUUGGAUUACCGGUUAUGAUUAUUUAUAAUUACUAAAGCAUGUCAAUCUCGUGAUACGUGACAAUGUGAUUACAUGUUUAAAUUAUGAAUAUUACGUGUAUAUUAUAAUUGAAAAUAUUUAUACCACGAAGGGUAGAAUUAGAUUUUGAUUCAAUUUCGUUAGACGACAAUCUGGUUUGUUCGUCAACUAAAUUAUUAUUUGGUUAUCAUAUAUAGUCGGCUGACUCGUUUAUCAAGGACGUUCAAGAACAGUUGAUUUGUGUUGUCGGAUUGUGUUGAGCCAGAAGCUAGAUGCAAAGGCAAUCUAGAGUUUUCGAGUAACCUGACUAUGAUGUCACUAGUUUUGACAUCAGAGGCAAGUUUUCUAAUUAUGACUUGUACUUAUCACAAGUGAUCUUUUGGUCUAUUCUAUUUAAAUAAGGACAUUCAUAUUCAUAUUUUGCUAUGGCCACUAGUAGUGCAUAUCCUAUAUUUAAAAAUACAAUAUGAUUAUUUAUCUCUUGUAACUACUGCAAGUAUUUUGUUCUACAUCUCUUUAUAACCAAUCAUAUUUUAUCUUCUUCACUCAAUAAACAUUUUGUGCCAUUGCACACAAGUAUUCCUGGUCUCUUGAAUGUUUUUAUAAAAUUUUUAGUUGUUUUCAUUAUUUUAAAAAGGUGAGCUGAUUAAGCUCUGAAAUUAUUUAUUUUAAGAUUUUGACUUCCUCUCUCUCCUAUUGAACUUAUACUUUAUACAAGUAUAUUAGUUGCAUGAAUUACAUUACACAAUUUCGAGCAUGAAUGCUGUUUUACUUGAAUUAUUAUCUUGACAUGUGUACACUCAACAUCAUGUCUAAAAUCUUUUAUCAACUGUUGUUUUCUAUAAAUGUUUCCCCUGAAAAGAACUUUUAUUUAAAUGUUCUAGAAAUGCUGAACCGUUAAUCUAACGGCUAGUAUUAUGAUUUUGAUAUAAAACAAGGUUGUCGAUUAUUUCGAUACCUUGCUUAUUUUGUGAUUGGAAGUACCCUCGGGGACCGUACGCCGGUCCAGUUACAAUUAAGGCCAUUGUGUGCCUUGGAUCCCUUAAAAUUUGGUGACAUGCUUCGUGCAUGAUCCGGUGCUAUCUCGCGACUGAUCAUCGGCUAUAGCAUAGCGUUAAAUUAUUCCAAUCCCUAAAAAUGUUGUGGAAGGUUUAUAUAUUAAUGCUACUCUUUAUUAGUAUUAAGUUUCAGAAAAGUUUUAUAAAUUAAAUUCGAAGUUCAUAUUGUCGCUGAAGCAUUUGUUGCUCAGUGAUAGUUAGAGCCAAGAAUGAAUUGAGAUCUUCUUAUUUAUUCAACUCAUCAUUGUCAUGUUGGUUUAGCAACUAAAUAUAUGGAAAUUUAGUCGAUAAUGAUGGACACUGAAUAUUUAGGGAUUUCUUGAACUGUGGUUUAUGAACAGUUGAUUAUCAAACGUUAUUUUGAACUUCUCAAAUGAAUAAUUUUUGAAGUUCUUGCAAAGGUAUUAUUUUAUGAGAUUUGCUGCAAUGCAAAUCAAAAUGGUUUUAAAGAUUUUGAAGUGAAUCAAUUAUUUGAUUCAAAAUGUUUCUCAUAGUUAGAAACUCUCUCUCUCCAGUUUGGAAUUGCAUUACAAAUGUUUUUAGUAGAAAUCCAUUACCUAUUGGAUUGGAAAAUUCCCCGCAUAUUAUGGAUUUAUCUUAUUAUGCUUCUAAAACUUAUCUUGCUGAGCCUUUUGCUCACCCUUGCUAUUAUUUCUAACGCUUUCAGUUAGAGAUUAAGAUGAUUCGAUUGUUGAGCUGUGCGUAAGAUUGAUGAUAGGCGAGAUUGCCAGGGAGAUGUCUGCAAGAAUAUUUCUGGUUAGAAUUGAAUUAUUUCAGUUUAGUUGUAUAAUAGAUUUAUUUAUUUGGUUAUCAGUUACUCUUCUUAUCGAGGUUUAACUGAUAAUGUAGUUUAAGUUGUAAUAAGAUUGUAAGUUUUGAUUUCUGAUUUCAGUGUUGUAACCUAUUAGCGAUCCUGUUUUUAGGGGGUCAAAGUGAUUUUGAUUUAAAUAUCUUUUAAAAUUUCCAGAUUUUUAAUUAUCUGUUUUACCUUCUUCCGCAAAAUACAGGUUUUUAAAUGAUUUUAUUUUAGUGGCACCAAAUCCAGACCCCCGGAUUUUGGGGAUGUCACACCUCCGUCCCAUUUUAACUCCUUCUGAUUUUUUUACACAUAUUUUAAGGUGUUAAAAAAAUCGCAUAUAAACAUAAUUAUUCUUUAAAAAAUUUAU